GAGAAAUCAACUCAUCUGUUUUUAGGCACAGAGAGGGAAAGGAGGUGUUUUCCUGGUGAGUGAGGCUCCCUGAGGAUUUUUAUUCUGAACAUAAUAAAUGAUUUUCUACCUCUUUCUUGCACUCACAUCCAGUAGUACACUGGACUAGUCUUCUAUAGGGUUUUGGGAGCUGGUUGCUAGAUUUUCAGGAAGCUUGUAAGCCAGUUGUUAAGCACAGUCAUUAUUAAACAUCAAAAUUAAAUGUCACAUUAAAAACAUAAAUAAUAGCUUCCAGUUCCAAAAUGGUGGCCUAGAGGCAAGCUGCUUCACUCCCUACCACAGAAAACCAAAAACAAAUGUAACACGCCGAGACUUUCACCAGCAACAACCCAGAGUCCAUGGAUGAGGAUGAGACAGUUCCCUAGGCCACAGAGAAAUAGAAAAACUGAGCUGACAGCAGGAGAACUGGACUUACACAUCCCUAAUGCUCCUCUCUCCCUUUUUACCUGUCACCAAAUGCAUGGAAAAUCUUCCCACAACUCAUGAUUUCUACACUGGAAAAAGUGAAAUUGAGGUGAUCAAUCAGCUUCUCUACCUUCUUGGAUUCCCUGGAAGGAGACUUGUUCUUGCCUUAACCCACGGAAAGCAUCAUGAUUGACUGAAGGGAGAAAUAGCCCUGAGAACAGGCAGAGACAAAGGGGAGGCAGAACUACCAUCUCCAGCCUGGACGCUGUGCUCCAUAACUUGGCCAAAGGAGAUGCCAAAUCAAAGUGGCUGUUCAGCAGUACUGCAGGAAGAACAUUCUGCAGGUCCCCUGGGCACGAAUCCCUCGCCAGCCUUCACACACUGCAGGGAUAAUCCCUUCAGGACCUCCCCCAUUCAGGACAGGCAGUGCACAGACAGACCCUUUACUGGAGCAAAGCAAACCUGGGCUGUAGGUGCCACCUAGAGCCGAAAAGGAGGCAGCAAUCUAGGGACAGAUUCACUAAGCAAAUAUAGUCAAUAAAAAACAAAACUAACUGGACAGAGAAAACUGGAAUAAAUAACUAAUCCUUCAAUGCAAAGACAUAGAUGUAUACCGACAAGGAACAACUGCAAACAGGAACUAUGACCUCCCCAAAAGGGGACCCCAACAAGACCAUGAUUUGUAACCUCUCUGACAAAAAUCCAAAAGAGCAAUUUUAAGGAAAUGUAGUUAUAUGCAAAAUAACACAAAAAAGCAAUUCAGAAAUUUAUCAGAGAAAUUUAACAAAGAGAUUGAAAUAACAACAACAAUGAAAAUCAAACAGAAAUCCUGGACCUGAGAAAUACAUUUGCUGAAGUGAAGAACUCUUUAGAGGCUCUCAGCAGCAGAGUGAACCAAGCAGAAGAAAGAAUCUGUGAGUUAGAAGACUGGCUAUUUGAAAUUAUAAUCAGAUGAGAAAAAAUAAAAAAGGAAUAAAAAGGAAUGAAGGUUGCCUACAAGAUAUGGAAAAUUACCUCAAAGGACAUAAUAUAAGAAUUACUGAUGUUCAAGAAAGAGCUGAGCAAGAGCAAGGAGUGGAAAGUGUAUUCAAAGGAGUAAUAACAGGAAACUUUCCAAAACUCAAGAAAGAGUUAAAUAUACAGGUAUAGGAAGGUCUGAGAACACUAAACAGAAUCAAUGCAAUUAAGACCACUUCCAGACAUAUAGUAAUUCAUCUCAAAGGUCAAGAACAAAGAGAGGAUCCUAAAAGCAGCAAGAUAAAUAAGGCAAAUAACAUUAAAAAGCUCCAAUUUGGCUGGUCUGAAGGUAGUGAGACAUCUCAACUGAUUGUUCACAGUUACAGAUCGAACUCCUUGCUCUACUCUUUUCCCCCUUCUCACUACUGCACUUGACUAGUCUUGUGAAGGAAGGGAGGAGCAGG